AGUACAUAAACCUGCAUGGAGCUACUGCAUAAUUUUCACGAGCACAUGACAGGAUAAUAAUGGAGCUAAGGCAGAUCUCCAGGGCUUUUUAGCUCUUGCUAAAUUCCUGAAGUUAUUCCAAAUGCAUUCACUGCCUCCAAAAGUUGGUAACUUGUUUAUGUUCAGAACAGGAACCUGGUGGUGUGGUGUAAGGGCCCAGUAUUGUUUUUCUUAAGCAAUGAGGGUACUUCAUAACUGCCAUGUCUGGUCAGAUAAGCUUUUACAGACUCCAAAGUUUCAGAUUUUCCAAUUAGUUUAAAGCCAGGUUGUGUUCCCACAGCUGAAAGUGUUGGAGUUACUGCAGACAGUUCACAGCUAAACAUCCUCCAUUCUGAAAGGUAUCCAACCCAGAUGUGAGAGAAAAACCUUGUUUCUGCUGAAGACAGUGGAAAAUUUCCCAUCAAGGCCAAUAAAGGCUUUAUCAGUUCCUGCAGCACACAUGCUUUCUUAACCCAAUCUCCUCUGACUGCAAAUGAAGUUGAUUCCAUCUGGUUUUACAUUGUUGGAAAUGGGAAACCGUGAAUUAUCUUACUCUGUAACAACCCCUGCAUGUAUAUGAAGACUAUUACUCUACAAUGAAUAAAAUCCAGCAAGAAGCUUCCCUGGCAUUAGUUUGGACCAGUGGUAUUAUUCAGCUCCUGCUGUGGAAAAAGGACCAGUCUCGUUGGCGACCAUUUAAUCCUGAUUUAUUUUCUACCCUAAGUAUCUUUCAGGUUGGGCCUGGGUUUGUGCACUCAGAGCUGGAAGGAAAAGCUCACAGCUGAGUUUGCCAAAACCACCGGGACCGAACCUGAGUAUGGAGCAAAGUGACCCCAGCUGGACCCUGCAUCAGGGGGAGCAGCCAGCAACACAAGGGGACAGUGGCUGGAGACAGCACGGAAAUCUGCUCUGCUCUCGCCAGUAAUGCAGAAGCACCUUAGUGCUCUUUGGUGUGCAGAAUACAUAAGCUUGAAUUUCUCACUGCUUUCUACCACCAACAAUGAAAAAUGUUGGAAACUAACAUCUCCUCAAAAGCAUUUUAAAUGCUUUUUCUUUUUCCUGUACCAUCUCUUUAAGUAAGUAUAUGACAGAAAAAGCAGAGGAAGAGUGCAAUACAGAAAUUAGUGUUUAACAUUACGAUUCUGUGAUUCUGUGAUUCUGUGAAAUGACAGUGAAUGUUACACAAUGGAGCAUCUCCUUACAAAAGAGUAUAAUCUGCUGACUUCAUAAUCAACAUGGCUGCAAACAAUCUCCACAUGAGCAUGAAAGAGCAAAUGCAUGGAGUAUCUUUGGAGCAGAGGAGAAGCCAGUGCAUGGGCUGGUGGUGCUGAGCUCUAACGCAGAAGAGAAAUCCUCCAAAGUCAGUAAAGCAAGCAAAAGACAGAAUGCGUCCCCAUCUCACGGCUACAGAGCUGUAUACUUUGCAUCGUGUGCUCUGGAAGACUGUCUGUUAAGUGUUGUAUUACUUCAACUGCGCUGGGAGAUAUAUGCUAUGUUUGCUACAUCCAAGAGCAAGCUAUAAAGUAUAACAAAUAGAGAACAGCCAUUAACAAGGCACUGACACUAGCUUAGUUUAAAUUAGGGAGUAGUCAAGUUAUGGCAGUGAUACAGAACAUAUUCCUAUAAAAGAUGAGGCUAUCUCUCUGACUGCAGCAGGGCUAUCCUUUUACAUGUCUUUGUGAGAAAAGCAUACUAACGCAAAAUAGUGCUUGGCCCUCAUAAAACAGUACUCCAUCUCUGAGUGCUUUAUUUAUGGGAUAUGAAGUUCAA
rnacentral:lncRNA from 1 species